AUUGUAGGCAAUUCACUCAUGGUGAUGGGGUUCAGUUAUCUAAAAUCUUUGUUUUUAUCUCUUGGUAAAAGUAUAUUAAAAGCACAGAAAUACUGGGACACACUUGAUUGCUCACAUGCUUUAUUAACUGAGUGCUACCGACACAGCUGCAUUCAAUUUAUCUUCAAUUUCGGAAGACAACAGGACCAGGUUAACAACAAGAGUGCCAGGAAUAUCUUUUGGGACCUCACACUGGAAAUUGUCAAGGUGUAACCCAGGCGCAUAUACUACUUGUCUCUCUUCGUGUAACCCAGACACCUACACAACAGCUCGAAGUUGGCAGCAAGGCCCCCUUUACUGAACAGCGUGAACGGAAAGACCGCCUCCCCAUGUUGGAACUCCGGAUUGCCCAGGAAUGUCAGAAACAAGGAUUUGUGCCCACCUAAAUUCCUAGCACGUCUAAGAAUAUGCCAUAGACGAUAUACCAUCCACAGAAGAGGGUCAUCUUUCAGGUCUUGGUCGAAUUCCGCUUCCACCCCGUGAAGGAAAGAUAUCAGGCCCCCUUUACUGAACAGCGUGAACGGAAAGACCGCCUCCCCAUGUUGGAACUCCGGAUUGCCCAGGAAUGUCAGAAACAAGGAUUUGUACCCACCUAAAUUCCUAGCACGUCUAAGAAUAUGCCAUAGACGAUAUACCAUCCACAGAAGAGGGUCAUCUUUCAGGUCUUGGUCGAAUUCCGCUUCCACCCCGUGAAGGAAAGAUAUCAGGUUUCUGGACCCUACAAAUUGUGCCUCCAGCUGUGUAUUAGUGUAUAUAUCACUAUU